rnacentral:tRNA from 7 species
GGAGGUGUCCGGGUUCCUGGUGGGCCCCCCGGUCUUCAAAACCGGUGAGGUCGAGUAUCUCGGCCUGGCGGGUUCGAUUCCCGUCCACCUCCGCCA